CCCAAACAUCCCGGCCUUUCUUGGACGCGAUGCCACCGGGAAGAGGCUCCACGGUGAAACCUCCCGUCCCAGCUCCCUGCGGGGUCCUCCUCCAAACACAUUCCUCUAGCGUUUUCUUUAAAUUUAUUUAGAUUUUUUUUUUUUAAAUUAUUAUUAUUAUGUUUUAAAUCCCCAACUUCGCCACCAAGGAGUUGCUUUAUUUCAUUUUCCUUGACGUAGCAACAAAACUCCCGGGACUGGUGCCAAGGCUCGAGUGCAUUUAAAUGAACAAACAGCAACAAAAAGUUGUUUGUGAUCCUUCUCAGGCUGGAAUAUUAAAAGCAUGAUGGGGGUUAUGCUCUGUGUACACUGGAAAGUGUAGGAUAAUGGAACUCCUCCGUCAGGGAGUCGCUCUGAGCAACCACUUGGUGCUGCAGAUGUUGGAGGGACACAAACUUCAGAUCUGGGCAGGGAAAAUCCCCGCUCGGACACGGUUCCUUGGGUUACCCCUGCAGCCAGACCUCCACACACAAAACCCCGCUGGACACCACUCCUUUUCCCAGUGCAGAGGUGCCUGUUUAUCCCGAAAAUGGGAGCUGUUCCCAACACACCGUAACCGAGGGCGCAAACAGCCCUGCCACCAGCUGUUGGCGUGCAGAGCUGCCUCCACAGCAGAAGCAGAAGAUGAAGCCACCCUCCGAUUUCAGAUUUGAAGGGAAAACCGAGCCCGACUCCAGACAAAGUUUCUGUGCAAACCCACCAGCCUCGAACAAAAGCAGCGUGAAUUAAUAAAGGGGGAAGAAAAACAGAAGCUCUGUUCUGAAGUGGAAGCAUAAGAUGUGAAAUUUCAAAAUCAGAUGGCUCGGGCUGUGAUUUCUUUCAUUUAAAUGAAUUGAUCUGUUGCUAAACUGCUGCUCUGGUGCCAAGAAACUUUUAACUCUUUCGGCUCAAAGCUUGCCGCGUUUCUGGUUCCUCUCUGCUCCCGACAAGGCAGCGAUUAAAUCAGAGGGGAGAAGUGAAAAAGGGAGUGGGGAAGAAAAAAUCCGAGGGCAUAAAAAGGACGGGGGAAUGAAACCCACAGGCAGCACAGGCAGAGCACAAAAGGGCCCCGGGCUGGUGCUUCGGGAGAACUUCUGCUGGACAAACAACGAGGGUCUGCCUCCUGCAGCGUUCCUAAAACUUGGAGAGGAGUCAGAGAGGCCUUCGAGCUCCACAACUGCAGAACUCUGGGGUAAAGCCACCAGAAGCAGGGCUAGCAGCAAGGAAAACCCCGAAAUGCCUGACCUGAUUCACGGCAAAUGUUCACUUACCGAGAAUGCCUUAAGCAUUUCCAACAGAACCCCCUCUUCCCUACACGUGUGAAAAAGAACAACCAAAAAAAGCUCUCAAAACCAGCCCAAAAAAAUAACUGCUCUGGUAAAAAUUUGGGUGAAAGUCCCUACAGCUUUCCCAUUUGGUUUUGGGGUUGUUUUGCCCAUUUCAAAAGGGAACAAAAUUUUUUUCAAAAUUUGAAGAUAGACAUGUUGUAAUUAGAGGUAAUUCCAGGGGAAAAAUAUUUAUGUGUAGAGCAAAAAAAUCCCCAAAAACACCAAAAAAAAAAAAAAAAAAAAAAAGGAAAAAAUAAAAGAAAAAUAUAUUUACAUAUCUCUAUAUCUCCCACUUUCCAGUUCUGCUGCAGUUCCCCCUAAACUGCUGCUGCUUGCUCCAAUCUGCUGCCUGCUUAACAACGGAAUGACAGGCAACAUCUGUUUGUAUAGAAGCCAAGAUCAAGCCUUCAAAAUUUUUUUGGCUCAGUUUCUUUUUUUUUUUUCUACACCCUCCCCUUAG